rnacentral:lncRNA from 1 species
AUGCCCUGGAUGUGGGGCGCUGUGCCCCAGGGAGGAUGGCAGGCCGGCCUGGGCCAGCUGAGAGCCCUGGGCCCGCACCGAGGGGGUGAAGCCACCCAGCCUGCUGUGCCUACCUUCUCCCUUUGCCCAGGCAAUGAACCAAGCACUGGGUUAGAGGAGCAAUGCCUUCACCCCACAGCAGCAGGCACCCAGAGUUUCUCUUUGGAUGCAGAUGCCCCCAGGAAUUCCUCGGGGAUUUCCCUGCUCAGUGUCCUUUGGCUCUUGCUCUGUGUCCACAGGCAGGCUGAGCAAGACACAUGCUACGGGUGGGGGUGCAGACGCCUGGCACAGGAUGUGGUGUGGACAUGUGGUGUGGACAUGUGACAUGGACUGCGGCUAUAGACACAGGCCAAAGGCAUUGACAGG